CGAGGGGUAUAAGGAGCUUGCUCCUUAGAGACCGGCGCACGGGUGCGUAACGCGUAUGCAAUCUACCUUUCACAGAGGGAUAGCCCAGAGAAAUUUGGAUUAAUACCUCAUAGUAUAUAUGGAUGGCAUCAUUUGUAUAUUAAAGUCACAACGGUGAAAGAUGAGCAUGCGUCCCAUUAGCUAGUUGGUAAGGUAACGGCUUACCAAGGCGACGAUGGGUAGGGGUCCUGAGAGGGAGAUCCCCCACACUGGUACUGAGACACGGACCAGACUCCUACGGGAGGCAGCAGUGAGGAAUAUUGGUCAAUGGGCGCAAGCCUGAACCAGCCAUGCCGCGUGCAGGAUGAAGCAUCUAUGGUGUGUAAACUGCUUUUGUACGGGAAGAAACAGAGGUUCGUGAACCUCCUUGACGGUACCGUAAGAAUAAGGAUCGGCUAACUCCGUGCCAGCAGCCGCGGUAAUACGGAGGAUCCAAGCGUUAUCCGGAAUCAUUGGGUUUAAAGGGUCCGUAGGCGGUUUGGUAAGUCAGUGGUGAAAGCCCAUCGCUCAACGGUGGAACGGCCAUUGAUACUGCCAGACUUGAAUUACUAGGAAGUAACUAGAAUAUGUAGUGUAGCGGUGAAAUGCUUAGAUAUUACAUGGAAUACCAAUUGCGAAGGCAGGUUACUACUAGUGGAUUGACGCUGAUGGACGAAAGCGUGGGUAGCGAACAGGAUUAGAUACCCUGGUAGUCCACGCCGUANACGAUGGAUACUAGCUGUUCNGUAGCAAUACUGAGUGGCU
rnacentral:rRNA from 1 species